AUGCUUAAAGUCUGUUUUUUCUAUGCUUUGGCCCUCCCCAACCUAUUUUGGCUGCAAUCGGCCCCCCUAAUUCAAAUUUCCUGGCUCCGCCACUGUCGGUGGGGAGUCGUUCACGGAUCUCCUGAUCAGAGCUUCUGUUCCCAGCCGGUCGCAACCGAGGGUGUCCCAGAUCUGGCUGUGCAAGAGGAGGGGGAGGACGACGGCGAGUGCGGGCAUGGAGGGAAAUUUUCUGUUACCGAUUCUCCUUCCUCAAGUUCUGCAUCACAAGUUCAUGAGGCCACGGAAGAUUUAAUCAAUGUCCCGGAUAUUGACAACACUGACAAUCCCAGAGAGCCCCCAUCUCAAUCGCAACGCACUCCAACUCCGUGGCCUCAAAGGUACUAG
rnacentral:rRNA from 1 species